UAUAAAGUUAUUCCAACGGGGAAUAAUUUUUAGAACUAUGGGUAAUAUGUUUAUUUCAUAGGUAUAAUUUUCAUAUAAUUCUUUCUUUUAAAACCAGCCUUUAUGCAAAGCUGUAAUUCAGCAGAUGAUUCCUAUUUUAAUCUGAAUUUAAGAACGGAAGGGGCAUUUCAACACCUUUUAUUGCUAAUUUAGACCUUAGUUAAUUUUCUGGCCCUGUCCUUUACUAGCUCUGAGAACUUGGGCAACUUUCUAACCCUCUCUGAACCUCAGUGUCCUCAUCAGUAAAAUGGGGAAAUAAUUCUUACUGUACAUGGAGCCCAUGUGGUGGUUAAAUGAGAUCUUAUAGCAUGCUAUGUGACAGUUGGCAAACAUCCAACAGAUGUAAGCUACUGUUCUUUUCAUAAUAGUAAUAACAUAAUUAAUAAUUAUCCUUGUUACUUAAUGUUAUGGUUGAAGAACAAGAAGCCUGGAAAGGUUAAAGGACUUGGACAAAGACGUGUUGCUUAGAAGAUCCAGAACGUGAAAGAGAUCUUGGUCACUGGCAGCCACGCCCGUGCUGUUUCCUGAACAAGGCUGCCCUCACACAGAGUUUUCAAGAAGUUUUCAAAAGUGAAGAGUGAGUUUGGAAACUACCGCACUGGUGAAACUGCCUUUAAACAGAAAGGAUGCGAAUUGCUACAUGUAAAUAUAAAAAAAAAAAAAGUGGAUAAUUGUCCUCAAAUAUGUCUAUCAUCAAGUACAAACACAUUAAUUCAAAUAAUUGCAUUGAUAUUAAAUUUUCUUUCUGGGAAUUCUCCAUUUAUGAUAAGUAAUUUCACAGCUUUUGGUCAAAUUCCAACAAAAGAGGUAGAAAAUUUUCACAUAAAACUGUUGGACCGCUUACUCACGUUAAACAGAAAGGCUGCUAUUUAGCUUAAAGAGUAUAGCUGUUGGCACUUCGUUUCAGCUGAACGGCUACACACAGCCCUCUUCAAUUUCAUUAUAAAGGUAAAAUUAGAAAAGCUAAACAUUAAAUCUUAUAAAGAAAUAUAAUUUGAUUUAAUGUCAUUAGAAACCGGCGCAAAAUAGAGAAUAUGGAGCUGGCUUAACUGCUUCGGUGCUGAAUAAAACAUCAGCCCUUUGCCCGUUCACCUGCGUGCUCCCAGCUGUACCUGUUGAUGCUCACGUUUCCUCAUUAGCUCAGUCAUUUCAUGGUAUGCCAUUUUAGGGGCACAUAUGUUUCCUAUUAGCAAUAAUGAAUUAAUGGGGGAUGUGUGGUAAUAUGAUAGCAAAAUUCAGUAAAAAUUCUAUUUGAACUUAAUUCUGUGGGAUAUGAAUAUAACCCACAAAGGAGUACUCUGAUCUACAGUGAAGAAUAAUUUGCCUACCGCUCUGGUUUGCAAUUAAUGAGAAGUCCUCAGGAAAUCCCAAUUUCUGAUUAAAGAGAGUUGAUUAUGAUUAAUGUAUCCAAAUUAACUGCCAGAAAGGAAGCCACCUCAUAAUUAUCGACAUUGUUCCUUCAGUUUUAAAUUCCUAAGGCUACUCAUAUCUGUGCCCUUUUCUCUAAUCCUUAAAGAUGUAUAUUUGGUUUUUAACUUUUGAUUGGCAAGACAAUGAUUGUCCUUUGUUUCUGAGUGUAGAAAAUAUUCAAGGUCUUAUGACUUUUCUUUUUACCCCUCUCUAUCCUUCUGUGAAAAUAGUAUCACUGGGGAUUCCAGCAAGUUGCCAUGAACCCAGUAUGUCAACUUCAAAUGCACUUGGUCUAACUUGAUAAGCACUGCGUCACCAGAGUACUCGCUCUUGGCCAUUGUGCUGUGCUGCCUUCCAUGGCACUUGGUUGAACUUUUGAAGAACAGAAGAUGUGUUUCCAGGCAGAUAUGGUUGUAUGAAUACGGUCAUCAAGCAGAUUGCAAUGGGAUCCCAUGCAGCAAAGCCCCGUCCAUUGUCAUCUCACUGAGAUUGUUGCCCUACUGGUUGGCCAUGGUACUUCUAUAUGGAAGCAAUAACCAGGCUCAGCUUCUGAUCUUCAAUAAGAUAUCCUGCCUGGGCAACUGGACUUGGAGAAAUGUCAGACUUCCAUCACAAUCUACAAGUAAGCUGAGAAGUUCUGCUGAUCUUGGCUUGUCUUAGUCAUGGACCUGCGGUCAGCUGUGUGUCAGUUAUACCAUGGCUUUAUGAAUGAAGACAAAAGCAAAAACUCCAUCCAAAAUGGCUGAAUCUAGUCCAGGUGCAAUUGUACUUGUGUUGAUAUGAUGUCUGGAGCUGGAGCAUGAGCUGGAGCAUAUAACCAUGAGAUGACAAGCAAAAAGAUAAAAGUCAACACUGUUAAAAUGGUGGAGAAGAAUGGAAAGAGCCUUGGUCCCUGAUGGCCUCUCGGAAUAGCUAAACCAAUGCUGGAAAAUGCCUACCUUUGAACUUAUUGUUAUUUAACAAAAGUAAAUUGUAUUUGCUUGUCAUUUUGUCACUUAUAAUCAAAUCCACUCUUAAGUACAACUUAAAUAUUAAGAAGUAUGUUUUUGUGUGUAUGAAUGUAUAUGCCUUUUAGUUUUUCCUCUUCCAUUUAUUAUGAAUGAUGAGGUUUGCUUCAAUAUAUAAAUGUAGAUUUCUUCUCAUGCCCAGCUACCAUUGGAAGUUUUCAGGGAGAAAAAUGGAGAAAGAAAAGGUGAAAACAAAAACGACAGAAAAGAAGAGGUUGUGGGAAAGAAGUGUAGGAAGCGUUAUCUUGAAAGAAAAACUAGAAGUAAAUUUUAAAAAGAGACAAAUUUAAAGUACAAUAGUAAACUUGAAAAUGUAAUAUAAAUAUAAUGUAUAUGCCUAAUUAUCUGCAUUAGUCUCUGUGUGUAUUAAUUUAUUCAAAAAUAUUUUUAAAUGACUAUGAUAACAUUGAUUUGCAAAGAUGUGCAUUUCUGGAAGAAUGUGAUGAAGCUCAGAGGAAUGAAGGCACAUCUGAUGAUGUGUGUGCAUGUUUCCACAAGAUGUGUCUGCCCACUCUAUGGAGGCUCUCUUUUGAGAAUUCUCAGCCAUAUCAUAGUUUUCUCCAACUUGUCAAAGUGAACUGUGUAUGUAAAAGAAAAGUGCUCCUUGGGGUGAGCAGGGUGAUACAUGAGGCCUCAAAAACUCAGGUGAUACCAGCCUGAAAGAUGGCGCUGUGUGGGACAUGCUUUGCAGACUCUCAGAGCAAUGUCUUCCUUCCAUGAUGCCAGGAUGGGACAGGCCUGGUGACCAGUGUGCACCAAACUUUUAAAAGAGAAAAGAACUGAAUUGUACAUUUGUUGGUGAAAAUUAAUGUUAUUCUUACAGCAUUUAUAAUUUGAAAAUAAAGGGGGAGAUAAAUUGUAUUUGAAAAGGCCCUACAUAGUCAAUCUUGUCACUUCCUUCAGAAAAAAAUAUGUAUUCCUCUAAUUCCUUCCCUCCCAUAUAUCCUCACCUCGUCACCUCUAGGAGAAGUGUACUCCGAAAAUUCUUUUAAUGGAUGUAUACAUAAUAUACAUUUAUUGCCAAAAACACAGAAAUUUAUUUUUUAAAAUUUACCUAUCCUCAGAGGUAUACACUGGGUACAUUUUUGUGUAUUUCCUUUCAAUCAUGUGUCUGCAUGUCUAUUUAUCUCUCUUUUCUUAUCCUCACAAAAUUGUAUCCUACUGUAUAUACUGAUUUGUAUCAGGCUUAUUUCUUAUAAUUUUGUAUCAUGAUUGUGUGCUUGGAGAAGUGUAUUUCCAUAGGUUCAGGGGCAUUUUCUGGGAAACAAAGUAACGAAGAGUCUUUCACACUCCAGUAACUAAAUGAAAGGGGGAGGCAGGUAGAAAGAGGGAUGCAUGUUAAAUAUAGAAACCACAAAUAAUUGAAUGAUGCUGGUAAUAAACAAGUCAUUAGUCUCGACUAGGGCUUGCAAACUGAUGGCUUGUCAGCCACAUCUGGCCUACAGAUGUUUUUGGUUUAGUUUAUAAAGUGUUGGUUUUUUCAAAAAUUGAGUUGGUGGCCAAAUUUAUAAAUUGAUAGAUUUCAUGUAUGAAACCUAAUGUUACAUUUUUGAAAAGCCAGAAGAAUUGACAAAUCAAGGGCCAUAUUCCUACAUGGCACACAUUGGCUGGAAGCAAUAGUGAAUACUAAGUGAAAUGGAGUGUGUGUUCUCUUGUCUACGCAUUAUGUUAUGGUCAACCUGGCUUCUACAGGCCUUUGCAAAACUAGGGGCAAGUCUAGAUGCAGUUUCUUCGAAAUUGUUUAUUAAUUAUCAUUACUGUUUUCAUGAGAGCAUAACCUCUUCUUGCGUCCAACUAGACAGCAGAUCGGGGAUGAGUUCUUCUUCUGUGUGGCCAUCACGUCUUACUGACUUACAUUAGAGGUUCUCAGUAAAUACUUGGAAAUGGCCAUACUCUUUGAUGGACAAGAAAUUUUAGUCUAAAAUAUUUUAGCACAGGAUAUGAUAAAUUGAAAGUAUAUUUUAAAAUAUCAUAUUCUCAAAUGAGCAACAUAAUAGCAGUAACAAGUUACAGCUUCCAUCAAUUUUCUUUAUGUAUUUAUUGAACUAAUGAGAGGUCUCAUUGAAAAUGAUUUUCAUUUAAACAAAAACUCUAGUUUUAUAGUCAACUUGCCAAAAGAACAGGUCUUCUUUUCAUGCUAGGCGCAUAUGGGUGGUGGGGGUAAAGAGUAUGGCAGGAGGGCUAUUAAAAAUUGUAAUUUGUAAGCAAUAUAGCAGGGUUGACCUUUGUAUCAAAUGUUACAUCUAGUCCUUCUGAGAUGAAGAUCAUAUUCCCAAGUAAAUAAAGGUAU